rnacentral:rRNA from 1 species
UACGGAGGGUGCAAGCGUUAUCCGGAUUCACUGGGUUUAAAGGGUGCGUAGGAGGACAGGUAAGUCAGUGGUGAAAUCCUAGGGCUUAACCCUAGAACUGCCGUUGAUACUCUCUGUCUUGAAUACCGUGGAGGUGAGCGGAAUAUGUCAUGUAGCGGUGAAAUGCUUAGAUAUGACAUAGAACACCGAUUGCGAAGGCAGCUCACUACACGAACAUUGACUCUGAGGCACGAAAGCGUGGGGAUCAAACAGG